GAUGAACGCUAGCGAUAGGCCUAACACAUGCAAGUCGAGGGGCAUCACAUGAAGUAGCAAUACGGAUGGUGGCGACCGGCGCACGGGUGAGUAACACGUAUGCAACCUGCCUUCAACAAGGGGAUAACCCGUUGAAAGACGGACUAAUACCCUAUAACACAGGGGUCCCGCAUGGGGAUAUUUGUUAAAGGACAACCGGUUGAAGAUGGGCAUGCGUUCCAUUAGCUAGUUGGCGGGGUAAGGCCCACCAAGGCAACGAUGGAUAGGGGAACUGAGAGGUUUAUCCCCCACACUGGUACUGAGACACGGACCAGACUCCUACGGGAGGCAGCAGUGAGGAAUAUUGGUCAAUGGACGCAAGUCUGAACCAGCCACGUCGCGUGAAGGAAGACGGCCCUACGGGUUGUAAACUUCUUUUGCAAGGGAAUAAAGUGGGCCACGUGUGGCCUUUUGCAAGUACCUUGCGAAUAAGGAUCGGCUAACUCCGUGCUAGCAGCCGCGGUAAAUCGCAGCGA
rnacentral:rRNA from 1 species